CCUGGGACAUCUUCAAAGCUCAGCACUGAGACGGGCAUCUGAGUCCCAGUAAAACGCAUCGCGCUUCUGAAUCCCACCACAGUAAUAGGAGGAAAUCUGGCCUGCAGCUACUGCGCCACAGUCUUGCAUGCUUUAGAGGUACCUUGGCUUUCUGACUGGAAGAUGAUUCCUGAAACAGGACUAUGUUGCUGCUGACAAACUGCGGGAUCGUUGGAAGAUGCCUUCCUUGAGGAUUACACGUGGAGAAAGGCCAUCAGUCAAGGGGAGAGCUGGCUGGUGAGACUGUCUGACUUUACCCCCCACCGGGGAAGUGGCUUCAAUGGCUCCAUCUCCCAGGAGAAGCAGUAGAAAAGAUGCCAACGCCUUGCCAAGCAUGUCCUCAACUUUCUGGGCUAUCAUGAUCCUGGCCAGUCUCCUCAUUGCUUAUUGCAGUCAGCUGGCUGCAGGUACAUGUGAGAUUGUUACUUUGGACAGAGAUAGCAGUCAGCCCCGAAGGACUAUAGCCCGACAAACAGCUCGCUGUGCAUGUAAAAAAGGACAGAUUGCCGGUACAACAAGAGCAAGGCCAGCCUGUGUUGAUGCACGAAUUAUCAAAACAAAACAGUGGUGUGAAAUGCUUCCAUGUUUAGAAGGAGAAGGCUGUGAUUUGCUAAUCAAUAAAUCAGGCUGGACCUGUACACAACCAGGAGGAAGGAUAAAGACAACCACGCCUGUCUGAGGCCAUGUGGUUUGGAGAUCUGAUCACUAGUCCGAAAAGGAAAGGCUGUUUUCAAGAUUUCUGGGGUGUUUUUUCCUGGAAAAGGUCUCCUGACAAAUGCAGCAACACAGAAUCCUCGUAGGAGUGGUUUAGGCUCUGUGUGAGCUACUUAACUUAGUCAAGUUUCACUGCUGUUGAUCAUCAUCCGUUAUAUGUCAUCAACUCAACUGUCUGUUUCUCUGUAUGUCACGAAUGACAGCAUAAUUCCUCUACAUUAUGAGCUAAAGUUUGUUCUACCAUACUAAGGAUCACUGGACUAAGGAAUAUAGAAAAAGAGAUAUACUUGGGCAUUAGCAAUACAAAAAAGUUCAUGGUUAACGUUUCAUCUGCGUUAUACACCACUGAUGGACUUGCUGUUACCUACGUGUUUUAAUCCGAAGAGUCUGCUACAAUGAAGAGUAUCAUCCCAAUCAGCCUUAGAGAAGACUGUUUUGCCUAUGGGAGGACACUAAGGUGCAAAAGAAAAACUCUUCUUGUGCCCUAAACUGUCUGAAUUGCUUUUAUUUUCUUAUACUUUCAGUAUAUACAAUAGACCAAAGAGCAAAAUCUAUUUUAAAGUGGACACAAUCUUACUAUUGAGUUAUGUCAUUAAAUUGUAGGAGGUCUCCACAAAGACAUUCCAGCUUUCAGAAAGCUGAGAUGUUGGUGUCCAGCAGAAGUCUUUAUGGAAAGCUGCAGUAAAAGCAUACGCAGUGACCUGCUCUUGACAUGCCACGUUUGAAAGAACAUAAUGGAGCACCGAGAGAAAACAACCUAUGUUUGAAAAAACUUGGACAAAAAGAACACAAACUGUCUACAUGGCACCUUUAUUCCUCUGUAUUUAGAUUGACUUUCUCGUACUAAAAUCAUUUUCAGUUUUAACCAGUUAAACAUGUCUCUUCUACAGUUCCAUUUUUGAUAGUUAAAGUUGGAUAAUACAGUAUUUGCAAAGAGCAUGUUUGGUCAUCUGUGGCCUAUGUCUCAUCUGAUACACCAUUUAGCACCAGAAAGCAAAUUAAAGAGAAAACAAAAGUAACACUUGUUUGAAAGAGAUCAUUAAAUGUAUUUUGAAAAGCCUAAAGUUAUAUAUUUAACAGUUUUUAUAUGUUGUAUAUUUGUAGAGAAUCCUAUUUAACAAUUAACGUGAUAACUCUGACGGUCAUGACAAGUGGUUCAGAGUUAAGUUGUGUUUUAUUACUUCAGUUGUCUCUGAAGUGACUGGUGUCGUUUGCUUUCUUCCAUUGGGACAUUCUGGAUGUAAAGCAUGACCAGAGAGGACUGUGUAGAAAAAGCAAAGAAUAAUGUUGUUUAUAUUACAUAAAUGCAUUCAACCAUUGCACUGUUGGAAGGCAUUUUUUAUUUUAUUUUUUGUCUUUAUGUACUGAUAAAAAUAGAGUGUAAAAUAUUUUACUCAUUGCUCGUCAU